AUGAACGCUAGCUACAGGCUUAACACAUGCAAGUCGAGGGGCAGCAUGGUCUUAGCUUGCUAAGGCCGAUGGCGACCGGCGCACGGGUGAGUAACACGUAUCCAACCUGCCGUCUACUCUUGGACAGCCUUCUGAAAGGAAGAUUAAUACAAGAUGGCAUCAUGAGUCCGCAUGUUCACAUGAUUAAAGGUAUUCCGGUAGACGAUGGGGAUGCGUUCCAUUAGAUAGUAGGCGGGGUAACGGCCCACCUAGUCUUCGAUGGAUAGGGGUUCUGAGAGGAAGGUCCCCCACAUUGGAACUGAGACACGGUCCAAACUCCUACGGGAGGCAGCAGUGAGGAAUAUUGGUCAAUGGGCGAGAGCCUGAACCAGCCAAGUAGCGUGAAGGAUGACUGCCCUAUGGGUUGUAAACUUCUUUUAUAAAGGAAUAAAGUCGGGUAUGCAUACCCGUUUGCAUGUACUUUAUGAAUAAGGAUCGGCUAACUCCGUGCCAGCAGCCGCGGUAAUACGGAGGAUCCGAGCGUUAUCCGGAUUUAUUGGGUUUAAAGGGAGCGUAGAUGGAUGUUUAAGUCAGUUGUGAAAGUUUGCGGCUUCACCGUAAAAUUGCAGUUGAUACUGGAUAUCUUGAGUGCAGGUGAGGCAGGCGGAAAUUCGUGGUGUAGCGGUGAAAUGCUUAGAUAUCACGGAGAACUCCGAUUGCGAAGGCAGCCUGCUAAGCUGCAACUGACAUUGAGGCUCGAAAGUGUGGGUAUCAAACAGGAUUAGAUACCCUGGUAGUCCACACGGUAAACGAUGAAUACUCGCUGUUUGCGAUAUACAGCAAGCGGCCAAGCGAAAGCGUUAAGUAUUCCACCUGGGGAGUACGCCGGCAACGGUGAAACUCAAAGGAAUUGACGGGGGCCCGCACAAGCGGAGGAACAUGUGGUUUAAUUCGAUGAUACGCGAGGAACCUUACCCGGGCUUAAAUUGCAGAUGAAUUACGGUGAAAGCCGUAAGCCGCAAGGCAUCUGUGAAGGUGCUGCAUGGUUGUCGUCAGCUCGUGCCGUGAGGUGUCGGCUUAAGUGCCAUAACGAGCGCAACCCUUGUUGUCAGUUACUAACAGGUUCCGCUGAGGACUCUGACAAGACUGCCAUCGUAAGAUGUGAGGAAGGUGGGGAUGACGUCAAAUCAGCACGGCCCUUACGUCCGGGGCUACACACGUGUUACAAUGGGGGGGUACAGAGGGCCGCUACCACGCGAGUGGAUGCCAAUCCCAAAAACCUCUCUCAGUUCGGACUGGAGUCUGCAACCCGACUCCACGAAGCUGGAUUCGCUAGUAAUCGCGCAUCAGCCACGGCGCGGUGAAUACGUUCCCGGGCCUUGUACACACCGCCCGUCAAGCCAUGGGAGCCGGGGGUACCUGAAGUGCGUAACCGCGAGGAGCGCCCUAGGGUAAAACUGGU
rnacentral:rRNA from 1 species